UACGGGGGGAGCAAGCGUUGUUCGGAUUUACUGGGCGUAAAGGGCGCGUAGGCGGCGCAACAAGUCACUUGUGAAAUCUCAGAGCUUAACUCCGAACGGUCAAGUGAUACUGUCGUGCUAGAGUGCAGAAGGGGCAACUGGAAUUCUCGGUGUAGCGGUGAAAUGCUUAGAUAUCGUCAAGAACACCGAUAGUGAAGACAGCUAACUAAGCUUUAACUGACGCUGAGGCACGAAAGUGUGGGGAUCAAACAGG
rnacentral:rRNA from 1 species